CAUCUGUCAGCUGUCAUAUUGACAUUUCUACUUAACAUCCUUGCUGGCUGCUCAAUUUUUAAUCGGGUUUUUCGAGCCGCUUUCCCUUUCCACAUCCCAUUUCCCGGCAGGAGCCAGUAGCCAGGAGCCAGGAAGCGGCGGAAACAGCAAACUCAUUAUUUUUAUUAAUAUGAUUUUCGCUGCACUUCACUUGAUCCAGAACGAUGAUGCGAUGAUGCGACGGUACGUGCAUGUACAUGUAUGGCUCUGACAGGGCGCGCCAGUGUCAAUACAUCUCAUUGUUCUCUCCAAUGAACAGCAUUUAUUUGCAAUUAUUUGUUUUAAGCAUUAACAAAAGGAGUCCAGAUCCAGUUCCAGUUCCAGCCCGAGUGCCCCUGUCCCUGUCCCCUCGGAAGAGUAAAUUAUAUACAUUAAGCCCUUUAGGGAGAGCGCUGAGCAGCUGAAAUGAGCAGCCCAGACAGACAGGCAGACAGACUGGCCAGAAGCAGAAGCAGAGCAUCGCAUCGCAGCAGAACAGACUCGGGUAUCGCAUUGCGAUUGAAAUGCGUUUUUAAUUGCUGUCAGAAAGGUUCGCACCGCCACCGCACAGCCAACUGCGUGUUGAAUUAUGUCAAACAAGUUGUCAAGCGACCCAAAGAGACACAGAGCGACCCCCGACCGGAUGCAGAGAAAGACCCAGGACCCAAGUUAAUGCUGCGGGGAUCCAAAAUCGUUGGGAGCUGGCAGUGUAUCUGUAUAUUGUAUUGUGGAUUCCUUGACCGCUUUUAGCAUUCCAGCAAAUUGUGAAAUAAUCGUAGCUUCUCGGUAAAAGUGAAAAAGUCACCUGCCGGCCAUUGUCAGACACAACACUCUCCGUCUCCGUCUCCAUCUCCAUCUCCGUCUCCGUUUGCUGCCCUGGGAAGCUGGAGGAAGCUGUUGGCCGGAGUUGACAGCACCUCUGCACCUGCUGAGAGCUGUAGCCAAAUGCCGACUGUGGACUGAGGACUGCUCCAUAGCUGGUUACUGGUAACUGGUAGCUGGUAACUGCUUCCUGCUAACUGAAUAACUGACAGGCAUUCAGGCAAUGGAGCACAACUGCUAACUGAGAUGUCAGGAGCACAGCUCGAGUCGCUUCAGAGUUUAUGGCAAAAUAGUUUAAAGGGAAAUCACUAUUGUGCCAGGAAUGAUGCAUAAUUUAUGUAAACUCUCACUGCAAUGAAUAAUAAUUUGAUGCAAGGGCUUCCCAAUUCCCAAUUCCCAGACGCAGACUCAGACCCAGACCGAGACCCCUACUCCCAGGGCUCUAAUCCGUUCGGCUUGACUCCGGCUUAUUGAGCCACAAUCGUAGAGCGACAGCAGAAAUUGAAUAAAAAUCGAGAGGCAAGUCGAGGCGAGUCAAAGAAGCGAAAAUAUGGCCAGCAAAGGUUAGAGUCGCCGUCUGGUCUGCUCGGGAUGGCACGGACGGGACAGGGGACAAGGGACAAGGGACAGGGACACGGACAGGGACAGGGACACGGACAAGGGACGAAGAAACAUGGCAGCAAAAGUUUCGUGCAGUUUCCUUAGCCAUGUCAUUGGCCUGUCUGUAAAUCUUGCCGUUGUGGUUUCCAGUCAACGUAGAAAAUUGACUUGAUAAAAAGUUUACUAUUUUCUCCCCAUUUCUUUUCCCUUUCAUGGUUUCGCCUGGCCCUGGCCCUGGGCCCGCCCCUAGCCGCCCGGG